GACAAAGGGUGCAAACGUUGUUCGGAAUCACUGGGCGUAAAGCGCGUGUAGGCUGCUGCGCAAGUCGGAUGUGAAAUCCCACGGCUCAACCAUGGAAGUGCAUUCGAAACUGCGUAGCUAGAGUUUUGGAGAGGAAGGCGGAAUACUCGGUGUAGAGGUGAAAUUCGUAGAUAUCGAGUGGAACACCGGUGGCGAAGGCGGCCUUCUGGACAAUGACUGACGCUGAAACGCGAAAGCGUGGGGAGCAAACAGG
rnacentral:rRNA from 1 species